UUUAACUUCUCCUAAAGAUAACUCAAAUUUGUAUGGAGUUGGAACAGCUUCCCUUCGUUAGUCGCUAGGGGCGCUGUUCCAACUCCAUACAAAUUUGAGAUAACUUUAACGCGAUCGA
rnacentral:pre_miRNA from 9 species